rnacentral:rRNA from 1 species
AGCUCCAAUAGCGUAUAUUAAAGUUGUUGUGGUGAAAAAGCUCGAAGUAGGAUAAAAAAAGAAUGGAAGCGGGAAAAUUUGUAGUGAGACUGCUUUGAAGGCUGUGAUUUUGCUGGAGGUUUAGGGGUGCUCUUGAUCGAGUGUCUCUGGAUGCCAGCAGGUUUACUUUGAAAAAAUUAGAGUGCUCAAAGCAGGCUAAAAUGCCUGAAUAUUCGUGCAUGGAAUAAUAGAAUAGGAUGUCGUUCCUAUUUUGUUGGUUUUCGGGACUCGACAUAAUGAUAAAUAGGGACAGUCGGGGGCAUUUGUAUUCAAACGACAGAGGUGAAAUUCUUGGACCGUUUGAAGACAAACUACUGCGAAAGCAUUUGCCAAGAAUGUUUUCA